AGUGAACGCUGGCGGUAGGCCUAACACAUGCAAGUCGAACGGCAGCACAGUAAGAGCUUGCUCUUACGGGUGGCGAGUGGCGGACGGGUGAGGAAUACAUCGGAAUCUACUUUUUCGUGGGGGAUAACGUAGGGAAACUUACGCUAAUACCGCAUACGACCUACGGGUGAAAGCAGGGGAUCUUCGGACCUUGCGCGAUUGAAUGAGCCGAUGUCGGAUUAGCUAGUUGGCGGGGUAAAGGCCCACCAAGGCGACGAUCCGUAGCUGGUCUGAGAGGAUGAUCCGCCCCACAGGAAAGGGACAACGGUCCAGCCUCCUAGGGGAGGCAGAGGGGGGGAAUAUUGGAAAAGGGGCGAAACCCUGAUCCAGCCAUACCGGGGGGGUGAAGAAGGCCUUGGGGUUGUAAAGCCCUUUUGUGGGGAAAAAAAAGCAGCAGGUUAACACCCCGCUGUUCUGACGGUACCAAAAAAAUAAGCACCGGCUAACUUCGU
rnacentral:rRNA from 1 species